rnacentral:rRNA from 1 species
CCUACGGGAGGCAGCAGUGGGGAAUAUUGCACAAUGGGGGAAACCCUGAUGCAGCGACGCCGCGUGAGGGAAGAAGCAAUUCGGUAUGUAAACCUCUAUCAGCAGGGAAGAAAAUGACGGUACCUGAGCAAGAAGCUCCUGCCAACUACGUGACAGCAGCCGCGGUAAUACGGAGGGGCCAAGCGUUAUCCGGAUUUACUGGGUGUAAAGGGAGCGUAGGCGGGAGGGCAAGUCAGAGGUGAAAGCCCGGGGCUCAACUGAGGAACUGCUCCGGAAACUGUUCGGCUGGAGUGCAGGAGAGGUAAGUGGAAUUGAUGGUGUAGCGGUGAAAUGCGUAGAUAUUAGGAGGAACACCAGUGGCGAAGGCGGCUUACUGGACUAUAACUGACGUUGAGGCACGAAAGCGUGGGGAGCAAACAGGAUUAGAUACCCGUGUAGUC